rnacentral:rRNA from 1 species
GASAGGCCCAAACGUUAUUCGGAUUUACUGGGCUUAAAGAGUUCGUAGGCGGCGCAGAAAGUAGGGUGUGAAAGCCCUCGGCUCAACCGAGGAAUUGCGCUCUAAACUACUGUGCUUGAGGAAGCUAGAGGUGAGCGGAACUGAUGGUGGAGCGGUGAAAUGCGUUGAUAUCAUCAGGAACACCGGAGGCGAAGGCGGCUCACUGGGGCUUUUCUGACGCUGAGGAACGAAAGCCAGGGGAGCGAACGGGAUUAGAUACCCCGGUAGUCCUGGCCGUAAACGAUGAGCACUAGGYCGGAGGGCUGCACAGCCUUUCGGCCGUAGCUAAAGUGUUAAGUGCUYCGCCUGGGGAGUAUGGUCKCAAGGCUG